rnacentral:rRNA from 1 species
GACGAACGCUGGCGGCGUGCUUAACACAUGCAAGUCGAACGGAAAGGCCUGCUUUCCCUUGUGGAUUGCGGGUACUCGAGUGGCGAACGGGUGAGUAACACGUGAGUGAUCUGCCCCCAACUUGGGUAUAAGCCUGGGAAACUGGGUCUAAUUCCCGAUAGGACUGCAGGGUGGUGCCUGUGGUGGAAAACGAUUUUCUAGUGGUUGGGGAUGAGCUCGCGGCCUAUCAGCUUGUUGGUGGGGUAAUGGCCUACCAAGGCGGCGACGGGUAGCCGGCCUGGGAGGGUGGACGGCCACAUUGGGACUGAGAUACGGCCCAGGCUCCUACGGGAGGCAGCAGUGGGGAAUAUUGCACAAUGGGCGGAAGCCUGAUGCAGCGACGCCGCGUGGGGGAUGACGGCCUUCGGGUUGUAAACUCCUUUCGACCGCGAGGAAGCCACCUGGUUGGAGGGGUGGUGACGGUAGUGGUAGAAGAAGCACCGGCUAACUACGUG